UACGGAGGGGACUAGCGUUGUUCGGAAUUACUGGGCGUAAAGCGCACGUAGGCGGAUUUGUAAGUCAGGGGUGAAAUCCCGGGGCUCAACCUCGGAACUGCCUUUGAUACUGCAAAUCUCGAGUCCGGAAGAGGUGAGUGGAAUUCCUAGUGUAGAGGUGAAAUUCGUAGAUAUUAGGAAGAACACCAGUGGCGAGGGCGGCUCACUGGUCCGGUACUGACGCUGAGGUGCGAAAGCGUGGGGAGCAAACAGU
rnacentral:rRNA from 1 species